rnacentral:rRNA from 1 species
GACGAACCGUGCGAACGUUACUCGGAAUCACUGGGCUUAAAGCGCACGUCGGCGGCAGCGUAAGUCGAAUGUGAAAUCCCAUCGGCUCAACCGUGGAACUGCACUCGAUACUGCGCUGCUCGAGGGAGAACGGGGCAUCUGGAACUUCCGGUGGAGCGGUGAAAUGUGUUGAUAUCGGAAGGAACGCCGGUGGCGAAAGCGAGAUGCUGGGUCUCUUCUGACGCUUAGGUGCGAAAGCUAGUGUAGCGAACGGG